rnacentral:rRNA from 1 species
GCCAGCCCGCUCAGAACUUAAAUGAAUUGACGGGGGCCCGCACAAGCGGAGGAGCAUGUGGUUUAAUUCGAUGAUACGCGAGGAACCUUACCUGGGCUCGAACGUAAGAUGACUGUAGGUGAAAGCUUACAUCUCUUCGGAGCAUUUUACGAGGUGCUGCAUGGUUGUCGUCAGCUCGUGCCGUGAGGUGUCGGGUUAAGUCCCAUAACGAGCGCAACCCCUACCUUUAGUUGCCAUCAGGUUAAGCUGGGGACUCUAAAGGAACUGCCUACGCAAGUAGUGAGGAAGGCGGGGAUGACGUCAAAUCAGCACGGCCCUUACGUCCAGGGCUACACACGUGCUACAAUGGCCGAUACAGAGGGCAGCUACCUGGUGACAGGAUGCAAAUCUCCAAAGUCGGUCUCAGUUCGGAUCGGAGUCUGCAACCCGACUCCGUGAAGUUGGAUUCGCUAGUAAUCGCGCAUCAGCCAUGGCGCGGUGAAUACGUUCCCGGGCCUU